rnacentral:tRNA from 1 species
UGGGGUGUUAACUCAAUGGUAGAGUUUUCACUUAGCAUGUACAAGGCCUUGGGUUUGAUCCCCAGCACUGCAG